CGGCGCAUGGCUCAGCUUGGUAGAGCGCUGCGUUCGGGACGCAGAGGUCGCAGGUUCAAAUCCUGUUGCGCCGA
rnacentral:tRNA from 1 species